rnacentral:lncRNA from 1 species
UGGGGGGGCACUGGGAGAAACUGGGAAUUGCUGGGGGGGACUGGGGGGGACUGGGAGGGACUGGGAACUGGUGGGGGGGGCACUGGGAGGGACUGGGAACCGCUGGGCAGGGACUGGGAACUGCUGGGAGGGACUGGGAGCACUGGGAAUAGCACUGGGAGCACUGGGGGACUGUGGAGGGGAAACUGGGGGGGACUGGGAACUGCUGGGGGGCACUGGGAGAAACUGGGAACUACUGGGGAGGGACUGGGAGGGACUGGGGAGGACUGGGGGGGCACUGGGAGGGACUGGGGAGGACUGGGAGGGAAACAGGGAACUGGUGGGGGGGCACUGGGAGGGACUGGCAGGAUACUGGGUGUCACUGUGUGUCACUGGGAGCACUGGGGUGUCACUGGGUGUCACUGGGGUGUCACUGGGGUAUCACUGGGCACACUGGGGUGUCACUGGGUAUCACUGGGUGUCACCGGGGUGUCACUAGCAUGUCCCCACACGGUGACACCAUCCCCCCAGUGCUGUCCCUGCUGUACUGGGUGUCACUGGGAUGUCACUGGGGUGUCACUGGGCACACUGUGUGUCACUGGGGUGUCCCCACACGGUGACACUGCCACCCCGCAGUGCUGUCCCUGCUGUGCUGGGUGUCACUGGGGUGUCACUGGGGUGUCACUGGGUGUCACCGGCGUGUCCCCACACGGUGACACCUGUCCCGCAGUGCUGUCCCUGCUGCUGUGGCGGUGCCCGGCGCGCUCGGUGCUGGCGCUGCUGCUGGCCCUGCUGGCUCUGGGUGUCACUGGGGUGUCAGUGGGUGUCACUGGGGUGUCACUGGGAGCACUGGAGUGUCACUGGGGUAUCACUGUGUGUCACCGGGGUGUCACCAGCAUGUCCCCAGCGGUGACACUGCCAUCCCGCAGUGCUGUCCCUGCUGCUGUGGCGGUGCCCGGCGCGCUCGGCGCUGUCCCUGCUGCUGUCCCUGCUGGCUCUGGCCUGCCUGGCGCGGUUCAGCGCGGUGGCGGUGGUGGCACACGCGGCGCUGGCCGUGCUGGCUGUCACCGUGCCCCUGCGCCUGCGCCGGAUGGCCCUGGCGGUGCUGAGCCCCCCGCCCGCCCCCGAGCCCCCCGAGCGGUGAGUGCCACCGGGGCCGCGCCCGGCCUGUGUCCCUGUCACCGUGUCCCUGUGUCCCCGUGUCCCCGUGUCCCUGUCCCCAUGUCCCUGUCCCAUUCCUGUCCCUGGCCCUGUGCCCCUGUCCCCAUCCCGGUCCCCAUUCCCCUGUUCCUGUCCCAUCCCUGUCCCUGUCCCCAUGUCCCUGUCCCAUUCCUGUCCCUGGCCCUGUGCCCCUGUCCCCAUCCCGGUCCCCAUUCCCCUGUUCCUGUCCCAUCCCUGUCCCUGUCCCCAUGUCCCUGUCCCCUGUUCCUGUCCUCCUGUCCCUUUCCUUCUCCCCCUGUUCCUGUCCCAUCCCUAUCCCUGUCCCCAUGGCUGUCCCUGACCCUGACCCUGUCCCUGUGUCCCUGUGUCCCUGUCCCUGUCCCCUGA